AGCAGCAGCAGCAGCGCCUCAGACCCGCCACCCAUCGCUGGAUGUUCCUCCACUUUACCCACCGUAUCAAACAACUUUUACCAGUAAAUAUCGGUUUAUUCCUGAAACCAGAAGCCCUAAACAUACCUUUGUUUAUAAGUUUUCCUGCUCUGCAUCUCUGGGAACUGGAGCCCGCAGGACCUAGAGCCUUCUGUUGCCUGGGUGGUUCUGAUUGCUGGCAGUUCUGUAAUACAACCUUAAUCUGAGCAGUUGAGGCUGGUCCUACCUUAUCUUCAGACGUCUUGCGGAGGACUCCUGUUACCAGUUUGGUACUCAAAAGCUACACCCCACCAUCAGAAGUCACUUUUUGGUUUUGUUUUUUUUUUUUUCCAAAGGCAGUGAUAGCUCACCCUCUCUAGCUCUAAUGGAAAACCUGAUAAUUGCAAUGCAACUUUCUAAUAAAUUGUUCAUAUAUUCAUAAUUCCGUUGCAAUCCCAAAUUGGAGAAGAGAUCUGUUAAAGUGCACUGGUGUACCAAGCCUCAGAACCACUGCUUUCUCCAGCUCAUAGGAUGCUUUUCCAGACUGUGGAUACGUGUAUGUGUACUGCUGUGUUGAUAAGUAAAUGCCAACGAUGGAGUUCGUUGCUUUUAUACAUCCCAAAGAGAAGUUCUCCACCGUUCAGUGUCUGUUUUCUGACCGAAAAGGCGUGUGUUUGUGAACAGUGUUCACGCCAGCUCUGCCAUGCCACCCUCACAUCAGCUCACACCAAUGCCAGGAUGGGAGGAGUUGCCUGCGUACCUUCCCCAAAACACCCCGGGCCGAGUGGCAUCGUCAGGGAGCAGUUCUAACCUGUGUCCUUUGGGCUUUGUGUAAAGCAAAUGCAGAACAAGAAAAAUCGAGAUGUUAAAUCCAUUAGAAAACAAAUUCCUUAUUGUACAGUAGUAUGGAGAUCUCUAGUCAACCUGCCAUUAAUAAUAGAUUCUUAUUUUUUGAAUGAUCUAUUUAAAAGAACAGCAAGCAUUGUAUUUGCUAGUAAAUCUGAAGUGUUUACAUGGAAUUACUAAAUAAAUUAUUUGAUCUAAGAUGGCUCUUA